AGUUGCAUGGCGAGCGCAGAGUCAAUUAUUCUUUCGCCUUUUACCGAAGAAUACAGUACUUCCGCCACCCAAAGCAGCAAACGAUAAUUUUUUUAGAGCCCAUCCUAUCUUGGGUG
rnacentral:snRNA from 1 species